rnacentral:rRNA from 1 species
CCUCGGAGAGUUUGAUCCUGGCUCAGGACGAACGCUGGCGGCGUGCCUAAUACAUGCAAGUCGAGCGGA